UACGAAGGGGGCUAGCGUUGCUCGGAAUCACUGGGCGUAAAGCGCACGUAGGCGGACUCCUAAGUCAGAGGUGAAAUCCUGGAGCUCAACUCCAGAACUGCCUUUGAUACUGGCGGACUCGAGUCCGGGAGAGGUGAGUGGAACUGCGAGUGUAGAGGUGAAAUUCGUAGAUAUUCGCAAGAACACCAGUGGCGAAGGCGGCUCACUGGCCCGGUACUGACGCUGAGGUGCGAAAGCGUGGGGAGCAAACAGG
rnacentral:rRNA from 1 species